UACGAAGGGGACUAGCGUUGUUCGGAAUCACUGGGCGUAAAGCGCACGUAGGCGGAUAUGUCAGUCAGGGGUGAAAUCCCGGGGCUCAACCUCGGAACUGCCUUUGAUACAGCAUAUCUUGAGUCCGAUAGAGGUGGGUGGAAUUCCUAGUGUAGAGGUGAAAUUCGUAGAUAUUAGGAAGAACACCCGUGGCGAAGGCGGCUCUCUGGAACGCAACUGACGCUGAGACGCGAAAGCGUGGGGAGCAAACAGG
rnacentral:rRNA from 1 species